rnacentral:rRNA from 1 species
GGACGGGUGAGUAACACGUAGGCAACCUGCCUGUAAGACAAGGGAUAACUACCGGAAACGGUAGCUAAGACCGGAUAACUAACCGGAUCGCAUGAUGCGGUUAUGAAACACGGCGCAAGCUGUGGCUUACAGAUGGGCCUGCGGCGCAUUAGCUAGUUGGUGGGGUAAAGGCCUACCAAGGCGACGAUCUGUAGCGGGUCUGAGAGGAUGAUCCGCCACACUGGGACUGAGACACGGCCCAGACUCCUACGGGAGGCAGCA